AACGAACGCUGGCGGCAUGCCUAACACAUGCAAGUCGAACGAGACCUUCGGGUCUAGUGGCGCACGGGUGCGUAACGCGUGGGAACCUGCCCUUAGGUUCGGAAUAACUCCCCGAAAGGGGUGCUAAUACCGGAUAAUGUCUUCGGACCAAAGAUUGAUCGCCUUUGGAUGGGCCCGCGUUGGAUUAGCUAGUUGGUAGUGUAAAAGCCUACCAAGGCGACGAUCCAUAGCUGGUCUGAGAGGAUGAUCAGCCACACUGGGACUGAGACACGGCCCAGACUCCUACGGGAGGCAGCAGUGGGGAAUAUUGGACAAUGGGCGAAAGCCUGAUCCAGCAAUGCCGCGUGAGUGAUGAAGGCCUUAGGGUUGUAAAGCUCUUUUACCCGGGAUGAUAAUGACAGUACCGGGAGAAUAAGCACCGGCUAACUCCGUG
rnacentral:rRNA from 1 species